CUUGCUGCUUUGCUGACGAGUGGCGGACGGGUGAGUAAUGUCUGGGAAACUGCCUGAUGGAGGGGGAUAACUACUGGAAACGGUGGCUAAUACCGCAUAACGUCGCAAGACCAAAGAGGGGGACCUUCGGGCCUCUUGCCAUCAGAUGUGCCCAGAUGGGAUUAGCUUGUUGGUGAGGUAACGGCUCACCAAGGCGACUAUCCCUAGCUGGUCUGAGAGGAUGACCAGCCACACUGGAACUGAGACACGGUCCAGACUCCUACGGGAGGCAGCAGUGGGGAAUAUUGCACAAUGGGCGCAAGCCUGAUGCAGCCAUGCCGCGUGUAUGAAGAAGGCCUUCGGGUUGUAAAGUACUUUCAGCGGGGAGGAAGGUGUUGUGGUUAAUAACCGCAGCAAUUGACGUUACCCGCA
rnacentral:rRNA from 1 species